UCCAGCAGUCAUAUCACCCUGCAGCUCACCGCUGGCAGCCCAUUGAGGCUCAGCAGGUGUGAGCCUGGUCAGUACCUGGAUGGGAGACUCCUGGGAAAAAGUAAGGCUGCUGCUGGAA
rfam:Lepisosteus oculatus linkage group LG8, whole genome shotgun sequence.